rnacentral:rRNA from 1 species
AGAGUUUGAUCCUGGCUCAGGAUGAACGCUGGCGGCGUGCUUAACACAUGCAAGUCGAACGGAGUGCCUUUGAAAGAGGAUUCGUCCAAUUGAUAAGGUUACUUAGUGGCGGACGGGUGAGUAACGCGUGAGGAACCUGCCUUGGAGUGGGGAAUAACACAGUGAAAAUUGUGCUAAUACCGCAUAAUGCAGUUGGGCCGCAUGGCUCUGACUGCCAAAGAUUUAUCGCUCUGAGAUGGCCUCGCGUCUGAUUAGCUAGUUGGUGGGGUAACGGCCCACCAAGGCGACGAUCAGUAGCCGGACUGAGAGGUUGGCCGGCCACAUUGGGACUGAGACACGGCCCAGACUCCUACGGGAGGCAGCAGUGGGGAAUAUUGGGCAAUGGGCGCAAGCCUGACCCAGCAACGCCGCGUGAAGGAAGAAGGCUUUCGGGUUGUAAACUUCUUUUCUUAGGGACGAAGUAAGUGACGGUACCUAAGGAAUAAGCCACGGCUAACUACGUGCCAGCAGCCGCGGU